UACGUAGGCAGCAAGCGUUGUUCGGAAUUACUGGGCGUAAAGAGUGUGUAGGCGGUGCCCUAAGUUUGUCGUGAAAUCUCCCGGCUUAACUGGGAGGGUGCGGCGAAAACUGGAGUGCUAGAGGGUGGGAGAGGAAAGCGGAAUUCCUGGUGUAGCGGUGAAAUGCGUAGAUAUCAGGAGGAACACCUGCGGUGUAGACAGCUUUCUGGACCACUUCUGACGCUGAGACGCGAAAGCGUGGGGAGCGAACAGG
rnacentral:rRNA from 1 species